CAGGAUGUCCAGAGCAACUGUGAGUGGCUUCAUUAUGGCACAAUAGUCCUUCAGAAAAUGAAGUUCCCCGUCACUGAUACAUUUGAGCUGUAAUCGAUCAGAUAUGGCACUCAAGUCAGUCAUAGCGGUGUUGAGAAUCUCUGCAACGUCAGUGAAGAUGACCUCUUCAUCAUCAUUAUUAUCAUCAUCUUCAGGGAGUGUCACACCACGGUGAGGGAUGUCUUGUCUUGGUUUUUUCUGUCUUGUGAUUUGCAUGUUUUAGUUUGAAAAAGUAACUUUCCUCUCGUUUCAGGUCACUUGCCCUUCCUUUUGUGUCAUCAGUCUGACGUCAUCCCUGUUCCCUGAUUGUUUCCACCUGUUCCCUAUUACCCUCAUGUGUCUUAUAAGCCCACUCCUCCCUUUGUUCUGUGCCAGAUUGUCUCGUUCAUUCGUACUAUCUAGCGUCCAUGCCCAUGUCCAUGCCUUGCCUUGUCUCCUGCUUAUGUUCCUUGUUCUUGAGUCCCUUUGUGGCUAUUUUGAGUUUUCCUUUCUUCCUCCUCAGCAGAGUGAUUUUUUGUUAUUGACUUUAUUCAGCCGAAGUGACCACAGCAAACGUUACCCAGCUUGCAAAAUCCCUUAGAAGAAGACAGCCUGCUGUUUCCUUAAACUUGGACACACACAUCUA